CUUGCUCUCUUGGCGGCGAGUGGCGGACGGGUGAGUAAUAUAUCGGAACGUGCCCAGUAGCGGGGGAUAACUACUCGAAAGAGUGGCUAAUACCGCAUACGCCCUACGGGGGAAAGGGGGGGAUCGCAAGACCUCUCACUAUUGGAGCGGCCGAUAUCGGAUUAGCUAGUUGGUGGGGUAAAGGCUCACCAAGGCAACGAUCCGUAGCUGGUUUGAGAGGACGACCAGCCACACUGGGACUGAGACACGGCCCAGACUCCUACGGGAGGCAGCAGUGGGGAAUUUUGGACAAUGGGGGAAACCCUGAUCCAGCCAUCCCGCGUGUAUGAUGAAGGCCUUCGGGUUGUAAAGUACUUUUGGCAGAGAAGAAAAGGUAUCUCCUAAUACGAGAUACUGCUGACGGUAUCUGCAGAAUAAGCACCGGCUAACUACGUGCCAGCAGCCGCGGUAAUACGUAGGGUGCAAGCGUUAAUCGGAAUUACUGGGCGUAAAGCGUGUGUAGGCGGUUCGGAAAGAAAGAUGUGAAAUCCCAGGGCUCAACCUUGGAACUGCAUUUUUAACUGCCGAGCUAGAGUAUGUCAGAGGGGGGUAGAAUUCCACGUGUAGCAGUGAAAUGCGUA
rnacentral:rRNA from 1 species